rnacentral:rRNA from 1 species
ACUCCUACGGGAGGCAGCAGUGAGGAAUAUUGGACAAUGGGCGGGAGCCUGAUCCAGCCAUGCCGCGUGCAGGAAGACUGCCUAUGGAUUGUAAACUGCUUUUGUACAGGAAGAAACACUCCCUCGUGAGGGAGCUUGACGGUACUGUAAGAAUAAGGAUCGGCUAACUCCGUGCCAGCAGCCGCGGUAAUACGGAGGAUCCAAGCGUUAUCCGGAAUCAUUGGGUUUAAAGGGUCCGUAGGUGGAUGAUUAAGUCAGAGGUGAAAUCCUGCAGCUCAACUGUAGAAUUGCCUUUGAUACUGGUUGUCUUGAAUUAUUGUGAAGUAGUUAGAAUAUGUGGUGUAGCGGUGAAAAUGCAUAGAUAUCACAUAGAAUACCGAUUGCGAAGGCAGAUUACUAACAAUACAUUGACACUGAUGGACGAAAGCGUGGGGAGCGAACAGGAUUAGAUACCCUGGUAGCUACGAGU